rnacentral:tRNA from 1 species
ACUCUUUUAGUAUAAAAAUUAUAAUUGACUUCCAAUCAAUUGAUCUAUAAUAUUAAUAGAGAGAGUA